AACGAGCGAGAGAGAGCUUGCUUUCUCGAGCGAGUGGCGAACGGGUGAGUAACGCGUGAGGAACCUGCCUCAAAGAGGGGGACAACAGUUGGAAACGACUGCUAAUACCGCAUAAGCCCACGGGUCGGCAUCGAGCAGAGGGAAAAGGAGUGAUCCGCUUUGAGAUGGCCUCGCGUCCGAUUAGCUAGUUGGUGAGGUAACGGCCCACCAAGGCGACGAUCGGUAGCCGGACUGAGAGGGUGAACGGCCACAUUGGGACUGAGACACGGCCCAAACUCC
rnacentral:rRNA from 1 species